UAUUUAUUUUGAGACAAGGUCUUUCUCUGUCACCCAGGCUGGAAUGCAGUGGCACCACCACAGCUCACCGCAGCUUCUUCCUCCCAGGUUUAAGCAAUCCACCCACCUCAGCAUCCCAAGUAGUUGGGACUACGGGUAGUUAAGAACAAAGAAACAUGUAGCUCCAGUUGCCACUGACAACCCUGAGGCACUUGGAAAUGAGGCUUACACCAUCGUGAGAAAGAUGAAGUGGAGAGAUGGAGAAAGCUAGGCAUCUGAUGACAUCUUUCAGCUACUGAUGGUUUCACUCCUUCCAGUUAGCUCUGCCACAGAAAUGCCCUGUCCUGGGGCCUGCCACCUCACUGGCCCAAGGAGAGUGAGACACAGGGAGUGGAGCCAUCCUAGCUGACACACAGAUCCGCACUGAGAAGCAGAGUUACCCAGAUGGGCCCAGCCUAGAUCAGCAGAAUCCCAGGCAACCUGCAUAUGUGUGUAGAAAAUGCUGUUACAAAGCCACUGAGAUUUUGUUGUUACUGGUUAUACGGCAUUAUUGCAACAAAAACUAAUUGAAGUAGUUGUUAACAAAUACUCAUCCAAUCAACAUAUAUUGAGGUCUUAUUGUGUGCUAGCCACUGAAGAUGCAAUGACAAGAAAGACGGAUACAAUUAUUACUCUCAUGGAAUUUACCGUUGAUUUUUGUGGUCCCUGAGGCCCUUUUGGGAAGGGCUGCAAUGUUAAAAUUGUUUUCAGUGUAGUACUAAAACAUUCUUUUUCUUUUUCUUUUUUUUUUCCACUGUGUUGACAUUUGCACCAGUGGAACAAAGGCAAUUACAUACUUAGCUGCUGAAAUUUUGACACGAAUCAUUGCAGGGGAACCAAAACGUAGGAGUAGUCGUAUUUACUAUCACGGUGUACUUACAGUUUAAAAAAUACCAGUUUCAUUGAUGAAUGUCCUCAAUGAGGUGGUAAAAUGAUUGAUUUAAUUAAAUCUCCACUCUGAGGUUAAUAUCUUU
rnacentral:lncRNA from 13 species